rnacentral:rRNA from 1 species
UACAGAGGCCUCAAGCGUUAGGCGGAAUCACUGGGCUUAAAGCGCGUGUAGGCGGACCGUUAAGUACCUUGUGAAAUCCCACGGCUCAACCGUGGAACUGCUGGGUAUACUGGCGGUCUUGGGCCACUCAGGGGUUGCCGGAACAAGCGGUGGAGCGGUGAAAUGCGUAGAUAUCGCUUGGAACGCCAAAGGUGGAAGACAGGCAACUGGGAGUGCGGCCG